rnacentral:rRNA from 1 species
UACGGGGGGGGCAAGCGUUGUUCGGAAUUACUGGGCGUAAAGGGCUCGUAGGUGGCCAACUAAGUCAGACGUGAAAUCCCUCAGCUUAACUGGGGAACUGCGUCUGAUACUGGAUGGCUCGAGUUUGGGAGAGGGAUGCGGAAUUCCAGGUGUAGCGGUGAAAUGCGUAGAUAUCUGGAGGAACACCGGUGGCGAAGGCGGCAUCCUGGACCAACACUGACACUGAUGAGCGAAAGCCAGGGGAGCAAACGGG